CCUACGGGUGGCAGCAGUGGGGAAUAUUGGGCAAUGGGCGCAAGCCUGACCCAGCAACGCCGCGUGAAGGAAGAAGGCUCUCGGGUUGUAAACUUCUUUUAUCAGGGACGAAGCAAGUGACGGUACCUGAUGAAUAAGCCACGGCUAACUACGUGCCAGCAGCCGCGGCAAUACGUAGGUGGCAAGCGUUAUCCGGAUUUACUGGGUGUAAAGGGCGUGUAGGCGGGAAAGCAAGUCAGAUGUGAAAACCAUGGGCUCAACCUGUGGACUGCAUUUGAAACUGUUUUUCUUGAGUACUGGAGAGGCAGACGGAAUUCGUGGUGUAGCGGUGAAAUGCGUAGAUAUUAGGAAGAACACCAAUGGCGAAGGCAGUCUGCUGGACAGCAACUGACGCUGAGGCGCGAAAGCGUGGGGAGCAAACAGGAUUAGAUACCCCAGUAGUC
rnacentral:rRNA from 1 species